rnacentral:rRNA from 1 species
GCUCUUAUGGGUGGCGAGUGGCGAACGGGUGAGGAAUACAUCGGAAUCUACUCUGUCGUGGGGGAUAACGUAGGGAAACUUACGCUAAUACCGCAUACGACCUACGGGUGAAAGCAGGGGAUCUUCGGACCUUGCGCGAUUGAAUGAGCCGAUGUCGGAUUAGCUAGUUGGCGGGGUAAAGGCCCACCAAGGCGACGAUCCGUAGCUGGUCUGAGAGGAUGAUCAGCCACACUGGAACUGAGACACGGUCCAGACUCCUACGGGAGGCAGCAGUGGGGAAUAUUGGACAAUGGGCGCAAGCCUGAUCCAGCCAUACCGCGUGGGUGAAGAAGGCCUUCGGGUUGUAAAGCCCUUUUGUUGGGAAAGAAAUCCAGCCGGCUAAUACCUGGUUGGGAUGACGGUACCCAAAGAAUAAGCACCGGCUAACUUCGUGCCAGCAGCCGCGGUAAUACGAAGGGUGCAAGCGUUACUCGGAAUUACUGGGCGUAAAGCGUGCGUAGGUGGUCGUUUAAGUCCGUUGUGAAAGCCCUGGGCUCAACCUGGGAACUGCAGUGGAUACUGGGCGACUAGAGUGUGGUAGAGGGUAGCGGAAUUCCUGGUGUAGCAGUGAAAUGCGUAGAGAUCAGGAGGAACAUCCAUGGCGAAGGCAGCUACCUGGACCAACACUGACACUGAGGCACGAAA